AGACAUUCAUUUCCCAUCUUCUCACCUGGCAUUUUGAGAUAAUCACUGGCUACUCUUUGGACUCUGGUCCCUGAAAAGGAGCCAGUUUGCUUCCUGAACUAAACCAGUGCCCUGAGAUGGAAGCAGGAUAUUAUAUAAACCACCACCACAAACAGCAUACCAGGAAAACACAACUCAGAUCUUCCUGGCUCUUCCACUAGCUGUGAGACAUGGGGCAAGGCUCCAGAUUCAGCUGGGCCUUUAUUAACCAGCCCUGGAGUUAAAUCAUCAACCCAGAGGUCUGUCCUAGCCCUGGAGCCCAAGGAGACCCCUGAUUAUGCAGCAAGCAGGGCUGAAGUUUCCAUUUAAUUUUUGCAUCACAUCUUUAGCACUAUUGGACAUCCUAGAAACCUCAUUCACAAGAUUUCAAGUUUGAAGUGAUAGUGUUUGCUACCAGAGCCCCUUUUCUGUCAAAGAAAUUAGAAGCAGGAAGGUUGAUGCAUUCCCCCACAGAAAGAAAAGAGGUCUUUUAGAAUAAUGUGAAACUCACACUCUGCAUGGGGACAGAGCCACUUCCACUUGCUCCAGGCCACAGAGUUCUCUCUCCCGUGACAGUUUCCUUCCUGUGCAAUAGUAUCGCCUCUGGAACUUCCUCACCUGCCACCUGGUGCUGCUACAUGUCCACUUGGGCUCACAUAUUUUCCCACCGAUAGACAAGAGAUUACCAGAAAAGGGGUGAGGAAUCCAGAGAGAAUGUCUGCAUAAGAAGGAGGGUGGAGAUUUCUUACUGAACUAAAGGCUUCAAGAAUUGGCAAAUACCUGCUCAAUGUUUUUCCAGACUUUUGUAUUUCUGAUGACUGGAUGACUCCACCUGGACCCGAGACUCAUGACUCACCCAGUCCUGUGGCCCCACCCAGAAGUGGACUCAGAGCAAGAGGACCAUUUUCCACACCCCAAUGAGUGCAUCCCCAACCAAUCAGCAGCACCUGUUCCCUAGCCCCCUGACCACCAAACUCUCCUUGAGAAACCGUAGCCUCCAAAUUUUCUGGGAGGCUGAUUUGAGUAAUAAUAAAACUUUGGUCUCCUAUGUAGCUGGCUCUAUGUGUAUUAAACUCUUCCUCUAUUGCAAUUCCCCUGCCUUGGUAAGUCGG
rnacentral:lncRNA from 10 species